rnacentral:SRP_RNA from 1 species
GCGAUGGGCGGGGAGUCGGCGGUGCCCUGUACUUGCAAUCCGCCAUAGCAAGGCCGAUCGGUUUCCUCGGCUCGCCGUAUGGUUGGCUGCGCGAGGUAAGGCGCGUCGAUCGAAAGGUCUCAUGCAACGGUCACCCGCGAACCGCGUCAGGAUAGGAAUAUAGCAGCGCUAAACGGUCCUGUCCGUGUGCCAUGAGGUUGCUUUUCGGGAGCGACCUGCCGCG